rnacentral:rRNA from 1 species
GACGAACGCUGGCGACGUGCCUAACACAUGCAAGUCGAACGAGAUCUUCGGAUCUAGUGGCGCACGGGUGCGUAACGCGUGGGAAUCUGCCCUUGGGUUCGGAAUAACAGUGAGAAAUUACUGCUAAUACCGGAUGAUGUCUUCGGACCAAAGAUUUAUCGCCCAGGGAUGAGCCCGCGUAGGAUUAGCUAGUUGGUGGGGUAAUGGCCUACCAAGGCGACGAUCCUUAGCUGGUCUGAGAGGAUGAUCAGCCACACUGGGACUGAGACACGGCCCAGAAUCCUACGGGAGGCAGCAGUGGGGAAUAUUGGACAAUGGGCGAAAGCCUGAUCCAGCAAUGCCGCGUGAGUGAUGAAGGCCUUAGGGUUGUAAAGCUCUUUUACCAGGGAUGAUAAUGACAGUACCUGGAGAAUAAGCUCCGGCUAACUCCGUGCCAGCAGCCGCGGUAA